UACAGAGACUGCAAGUGUUAUCCGGAAUCACUGGGCGUAAAGCGUCUGCAGGUGGUUUCCUAAGUCCACUGUUAAACCUUGAGGCUCAACCUCAAAUCUGCAUUGGAAACUAGGAGACUUGAGUAUAGUAGGGGUAGAGGGAAUUUCCAGUGGAGCGGUGAAAUGCGUAGAUAUUGGAAAGAACACCGAUGGCGAAGGCACUCUACUGGGCUAUUACUGACACUCAGAGACGAAAGCUAGGGGAGCAAAUGGG
rnacentral:rRNA from 1 species